rnacentral:rRNA from 1 species
UAAGACCCCAGAAAGACUAUCUGGUUGAUAGGUCGAAGGUGUAAGUGCAGCAAUGUAUUUAGCUUAUCGAUACUAAUAGGUCGAGGACUUGACCAAUAUUUAUUUGAUGUUCAUUCAUUAAGAUAUAUGUGUAGUUUUUAGAGUGCUAACUCUAAAGAAACUAGUAUUACUAGGUUCUAUAAACUUAUUAAAAACUUAAUAGAAAUAUUAAGCAUAAAGAUUAUGUGGUUACAAUAGCAGAGAGGAUACACCUGUUCCCAUUCCGAACACAGAAGUUAAGCUCUCUAGCGCUGAUGGUACUUGGUGGGAAACUGCCUGGGAGAGUAGGACGUAGCCACGUAAUUUUUUUAUUUUUUGUCAAAAAAAACAAAAAAUACGUAUUUCUUUUUUCAUUUCGGGAAAACUAAACACAGGAAUUAUGGACUUUAUAAAAAUUUAAUUCUUGAGGAGUGAUAUAAGUGAAAAAAGUUGCUUUAAUUUUAGCUAUAAUAGGUGCGCUUAACUGGGGUGCAAUUGGUAUUCUAGGUACAGACUUAAUAGGUAGUAUCUUUGGUGGAACAUAUGAAAUGGUAAGUAGAAUAAUAUACUUCAUUGUAGGUUUAGCUGGAUUAUACUUAAUACCAAGUUUAAUGUCUGAUGAUAGAGAAUAAUUUAUGCUUUUAUGUUAAAUACCUCAUUCUAAAUGUUUAGAAUGAGGUAUUUAAUUUUAUAAAAAUAUUAAUUUGUUUCUUUUUUAAUGGUAAAAUAGAUAAGAAUUGAAGUUUUAAAAAGAAGUAUUAUGUAAAAAAGGAGUACUAUUAAUAUAUGUUUAUUAUUAAUGAAUUAAAUAAGAUUGUAAAUGAAGAAGUAAUAUCUUUUCAUAUGCCUGGUCAUAAAAAGGGACAGGUUUAUAAAAAGUUAGGAUAUAAAGAUAUACUAAAAAAUUUGUAUAAAAUGGAUACAACUGAGAUAUUAGGAACAGAUAAUUUACACUUUCCGGAAGGAAUUAUAAAAAAUUCACAAAAAAAAGCAUCAAGAGUAUUUAAAAGUGAUUAUACUUGCUAUUUAGUAAAUGGUAGUAGCUGUGGAAUACAAUCUGCAAUAAUGUCAGUAUGUAGUCCUAAAAGUAAAAUAAUAACAAAUAGAGACUGUCAUCAGUCUGUUAUAAAUGGAUGUAUUUUAGGAGAUAUAGAUAUAGAGUAUGUGCCUUGUGAGAUAAGUGAAGAGACAAAUGUCUUAAAAGGGAUAUCUAUAAGUAAUGUGAUUGAUAUAAUAGAUAAAAACUUGGAUGCAAAAGCAGUACUGCUUACUUAUCCUACAUAUUAUGGAAUGACAUAUGAUUUAGAAUACAUAUGUAAUUAUGCACAUAGCAAAAAGAUGGUAGUGAUAGUAGAUGAAGCACAUGGUGCGCAUUUAGGGCUUAGCGAGAGGCUUCCUAAAACAGCUCUUGAGCAAGGCGCAGAUAUAGUUGUACAGAGUACACAUAAAACUCUUCCAGCAUUUACACAAUCGUCAAUGAUACAUAUACAGGGAGACCGAGUUGAUAUAGAUAAAAUAUUGAACAUGUUAAGAAUUACAGAAUCUUCAAGCCCUUCAUAUUUAUUAUUAUCUUCUCUGGAAUUAGCAGUAGAUAUAUAUGAAAAUAAAGGAAAAGAAUUAAUGGAAGAGCUUUUAAAUAAUAUUAUAACUUUCAAAAAUAAAGUUGAUUCAAAUAUUAAUAUAUACGACACAAAUGAUAAAACAAAAAUAUUUAUAUCAUCUAAAAACAUGGGUUUAACAGGUUAUGAACUAGAAAAUAUUUUGAGAAAUAAAUAUAACAUACAAGUGGAGUUAUCUAAUUAUUAUGGAGUUCUUUUAAUAUGUACAAUAGGAAAUACUGCUGAGGAUUUCUCUAGUUUAGAAACAGCAUUAAACAAUGUUGUAAAGGAAGACUUUAAAUUUGAAAAGUUAGAAAAUAAAAAAUACCCUGUUGUUAUUCCAAAGAAAAUAUUAACACCUAGAGAAGCAUUUUAUAAAACUAAAAAAAGUGUUAAAAUAUAUGACAGCAUAGGUAAAGUUUGUGGUGAAUGUAUAGUUCCAUACCCACCUGGAAUAAGUGUAAUAUCUCCUGGUGAAGUAAUAAGUAAAGAAAUAAUAGACUAUCUAAUGUUUUGUCAUUCUAAAGGCAUGAUUGUGAGUGGAUUGAAAGAUGUAGAUUUAAAUUUUAUACAAGUAAUAGAUUUAGAAGACAUUUAAAAAUUAUGAUAUAAAAGUAGAUAGAAGUAGAUAGUUUAAAAUUGUGAAGAGAAAUAAAUAGACUGCUUAUAUAGAGCUAUCUAAUAAAAGUACUAAAAAAGUAAAAAGUGUUUGUAUGGAGGAUAUGAAAAUGAAAGGUAAGUUAAUAAUUAUAGAGAGUGGUUCAGAUGCAAGUGGAAAGGCUACUCAGACAGAAAUAUUAUAUGAAAGAUUAAAAAAAGAAGGCUAUAUGAUUAAAAAGGUAGAAUAUCCAAAUUAUGAAUCUCCAUC